rnacentral:rRNA from 1 species
UACGAAGGGGGCUAGCGUUGCUCGGAAUCACUGGGCGUAAAGCGCACGUAGGCGGCUUCUUAAGUCAGGGGUGAAAUCCUGGAGCUCAACUCCAGAACUGCCUUUGAUACUGAGAAGCUUGAGUCCGGGAGAGGUGAGUGGAACUGCGAGUGUAGAGGUGAAAUUCGUAGAUAUUGGGAAGAACACCGAUGGCGAAGGCAGCCAUCUGGACCGACACUGACGCUGAGGCGCGAAAGCGUGGGGAGCAAACAGG